rnacentral:rRNA from 1 species
GCCAAUCAAACCGGGAGAUAGCUGGUUCUCCCCGAAAGCUAUUUAGGUAGCGCCUCGUGAAUUCAUCUCCGGGGGUAGAGCACUGUUUCGGCUAGGGGGCCAUCCCGGCUUACCAACCCGAUGCAAACUGCGAAUACCGGAGAAUGUUAUCACGGGAGACACACGGCGGGUGCUAACGUCCGUCGUGAAGAGGGAAACAACCCAGACCGCCAGCUAAGGUCCCAAAGUCAUGGUUAAGUGGGAAACGAUGUGGGAAGGCCCAGACAGCCAGGAUGUUGGCUUAGAAGCAGCCAUCAUUUAAAGAAAGCGUAAUAGCUCACUGGUCGAGUCGGCCUGCGCGGAAGAUGUAACGGGGCUAAACCAUGCACCGAAGCUGCGGCAGCGAACGUAUCACCCAAGACAACUUUAACCUGAAACCGUGUACGUACAAGCAGUGGGAGCACAGGUUUACCUGUGUGACUGCGUACCUUUUGUAUAAUGGGUCAGCGACUUAUAUUCUGUAGCAAGGUUAACGACCGCCAGCUAAGGUCCCAAAGUCAUGGUUAAGUGGGAAACGAUGUGGGAAGGCCCAGACAGCCAGGAUGUUGGCUUAGAAGCAGCCAUCAUUUAAAGAAAGCGUAAUAGCUCACUGGUCGAGUCGGCCUGCGCGGAAGAUGUAACGGGGCUAAACCAUGCACCGAAGCUGCGGCAGCGAACGUAUCACCCAAGACAACUUUACGGAGUUGACGAUUGACGGAGCGAAGCGACGUCAAAGCGUUCAUUAAAGUCGAGUUGGCUUAGGGAUACGUUCGUUGGGUAGGGGAGCGUUCUGUAAGCCUGUGAAGGUGUGUCGUGAGGCAUGCUGGAGGUAUCAGAAGUGCGAAUGCUGACAUAAGUAACGAUAAAGCGGGUGAAAAGCCCGCUCGCCGGAAGACCAAGGGUUCCUGUCCAACGUUAAUCGGGGCAGGGUGAGUCGACCCCUAAGGCGAGGCCGAAAGGCGUAGUCGAUGGGAAACGGGUUAAUAUUCCCGUACUUGGUGUUACUGCGAAGGGGGGACGGAGAAGGCUAUGUUGGCCGGGCGACGGUUGUCCCGGUUUAAGCGUGUAGGUGUGUGUUCCAGGUAAAUCCGGUUCACUUUAACACUGAGGCGUGACGACGAGGCACUACGGUGCUGAAGCAACAAAUGCCCUGCUUCCAGGAAAAGCCUCUAAGCAUCAGGUAACAUCAAAUCGUACCCCAAACCGACACAGGUGGUCAGGUAGAGAAUACCAAGGCGCUUGAGAGAACUCGGGUGAAGGAACUAGGCAAAAUGGUGCCGUAACUUCGGGAGAAGGCACGCUGACACGUAGGUGAAGUGAUUUACUCAUGGCUGAAGUCAGUCGAAGAUACCAGGCUGCUGUUUAUCAGCACUGUGCAAACACGAAAGUGGACAUACGGUGUGAUGCCCGGUGCCGGAAGGUUAAUUGAUGGGGUCAGCGCAAGAAGCUCCUGUCGAAGCCCCGGCGCGUAACUAUAACGGUCCUAAGGUAGCUUCCUUGUCGGGUAAGUUCCCGCACGAAUGGCGUAAUGAUGGCCAGGUGUCUCCACCCGAGACUCAGAACUCGCUGUGAAGAUGCAGGUACCCGCGAAGACGGAAAGACCCCGUGAACCUUCUAUAUUGACACUGAACAUUGAGCCUUGAUGUGUAGGAUAGGUGGGAGGCUUUGAAGUGUGGACGCCAGUCUGCAUGGAGCCGACCUUGAAAUACCACCCUUUAAUGUUUGAUGUUCUAACGUGGACCCGUAAUCCGGGUUGCGGACAGUGUCUGGUGGGUAGUUUGACUGGGGCGGUCUCCUCCUAAAGAGUAACGGAGGAGCACGAAGGUUGGCUAAUCCUGGUCGGACAUCAGGAGGUUAGUGCAAUGGCAUAAGCCAGCUUGACUGCGAGCGUGACGGCGCGAGCAGGUGCGAAAGCAGGUCAUAGUGAUCCGGUGGUUCUGAAUGGAAGGGCCAUCGCUCAACGGAUAAAAGGUACUCCGGGGAUAACAGGCUGAUACCGCCCAAGAGUUCAUAUCGACGGCGGUGUUUGGCACCUCGAUGUCGGCUCAUCACAUCCUGGGGCUGAAGUAGGUCCCAAGGGUAUGGCUGUUCGCCAUUUAAAGUGGUACGCGAGCUGGGUUUAGAACGUCGUGAGACAGUUCGGUCCCUAUCUGCCGUGGGCGCUGGAGAACUGAGGGGGGCUGCUCCUAGUACGAGAGGACCGGAGUGGACGCAUCACUGGUGUUCGGGUUGUCAUGCCAAUGGCACUGCCCGGUAGCUAAAUGCGGAAGAGAUAAGUGCUGAAAGCAUCUAAGCACGAAACUUGCCCCGAGAUGAGUUCUCCCUGAGACUUAGAGUCUCCUGAAGGAACGUUGAAGACGACGACGUUGAUAGGCCGGGUGUGUAAGCGCAGCGAUGCGUUGAGCUAACCGGUACUAAUGAACCGUGAGGCUUAACCUU